ensembl:lncRNA
GUCUAAACCAGAGAGCCCAAAAUACUCUUCUACGGAAAGCAACACUUCAGUCCAGCCUAUUGGCUACUAGACUGAGAUAGGUUGUUGAAAAUAUCACAGCUAGCCUACGCAGCGCCUGGAGUCCUCCCCGUGCCUUGGGAAGGCUUGGAAGUGGACGGACUGGAUGGUGCAACAGAGUCAAUAAAUCCAUUUCUGUCUGAGAUGCACCAGGUCUCUUGUUUCCUCAAAGCAAAGCAAAGGAACAAAUCCAGGUCAAUUAAAAUAAGGAAGAGGAGGAAGAGUUGAGUGGCUGGCUAAGGAGCAAAGCCAUCACCGGGAUCUACCACAAGAGGGCACAAGGAGCUUGGAUAGUGCUUUCAAAACUUGGGAGAAGGAACCUGCAAAAGGAGCUUGGUCGCAGCCCAGAUUACAUGCCGAUAUCCAUAAAGCUUUUGAAGUUUAUGGAAUCUUUUCCAGAGAGGAAUAUCCCAUCAGUUGUCACAGUAAACAAAAUAAAAAAAUGAUGUAAG